rnacentral:rRNA from 1 species
UACGUAGGGGGCGAGCGUUGUCCGGAAUUAUUGGGCGUAAAGAGCGUGUAGGCGGCCAGGUAGGUCCGUUGUGAAAACUCGAGGCUCAACCUCGAGACGUCGAUGGAAACCAUCUGGCUAGAGUCCGGAAGAGGAGAGUGGAAUUCCUGGUGUAGCGGUGAAAUGCGCAGAUAUCAGGAAGAACACCUAUGGCGAAGGCAGCUCUCUGGGACGGUACUGACGCUGAGACGCGAAAGCGUGGGGAGCGAACAGG